rfam:Actinomyces turicensis ACS-279-V-Col4 genomic scaffold supercont1.2, whole genome shotgun sequence.
GCGGAUGUGGCUCAGUUGGUAGAGCAUCACCUUGCCAAGGUGAGGGUCGCGGGUUCGAGUCCCGUCAUCCGCU